rnacentral:rRNA from 1 species
UACAGAGACUGCAAGCGUUGUCCGGAUUUACUGGGCGUAAAGAGCGCGCAGGCGGUCGUUCAAGUCGAGUGUGAAAGCCCCCGGCUCAACUGGGGAGGGUCAUUCGAUACUGAUCGACUCGAAGGCAGGAGAGGGUAGUGGAAUUCCCGGUGUAGUGGUGAAAUUCGUAGAUAUUCGCAAGAACACCAGUGGCGAAGGCGGCUCACUGGCCCGGUACUGACGCUGAGGUGCGAAAGCGUGGGGAGCAAACAGG